rnacentral:lncRNA from 1 species
CUUUCUGAAGGAUGUGUUUGAGCCCCCGCUUGUCUUGUCCAGUGCAGGAGAACCCAAACCAAGCAAACUGCCAACAUGGUCUAACUGGCGCUGUAGCGAAUCUGGAUGCAGGAUUUUUUCAGAAUUUCUUGUGACAGAACAACCUUUUGGCCCGCUCUACCCAGCAGUCACUGAGUGAUGGGGCUGCAGGAUCUGGAAGGUGCACCCCGGCGACAUCAGUGCAGCUUUGCAAUGGGCACUGCUCUGGCAUGGAUUAAGCCAGCAGGAUGUGCAUCGGAACUGUGCCAGGGUCGCCGGGUUCCCGCUGCGUCAUCACCAGAGAGGUACAACAAACCCCUCGCUAAGAGCUCGGAAACAGCCUCGGUGUGUAGGAACGUCGCAGAAAGGGCCACGGAUCAAGGAUGGACAAACAACGUUGUUGGAGACAAACCUAUUGGUGGCUUGACCAUUUGCACUGUGG